AUUGAACGCUGGCGGCAGGCCUAACACAUGCAAGUCGAGCGAGCGGCGGACGGGUGAGUAAUGUAUGGGGACUGCCCGAUAGAGGGGGAUAACUACUGGAAACGGUGGCUACUACCGCAUACUGUCGGAUAACCCAUAUGGGAUUAGCGAGUAGGUAAGGGAAUGGCUUACCUAGGCGACGAUCCCUAGCUGGUCUGAGAGGAUGAUCAGCCACCCUGGGGAUUAAACACCGCCCACACUCCUACGGAGGCCGCAGUGGGGAAUUAUUCACAAUGGGCGCAAGCCUGAUGCAGCCAAGCCGCGUGUAUGAAUGAGGCCCUAGGGUUGUAAAGUACUUUCAGUCGAGAGGCGUUACCGACAGAAGAAGCCCCGGCUAACUCCGUGCCAGCAGCCGCGGUAAUAC
rnacentral:rRNA from 1 species